UAAUACAACUUCUGGGCUUCCAG
rnacentral:miRNA from 1 species